UGGUUGAUCCUGCAGUAGUCAUAUGCUUGUCUCAAAGGAUUAAGCCAUUGCAUGUCUAAGUAUAAACAAAUUUGUACUGUGAAACUGCGAAUGGCUCAUUAAAUCAGUUAUAGUUUGAUGUUGAUGUACCUUGCUACAUGGAUAACUGUGUGGUAAUCUAGAAGCUAAUACAUGCAAUCAAGCCCCGACUUCCGGAAGGGUGAUUUAUUAGAUAAAAAACCACACGCGGCUUCCGCUCCUUGGUGAUUCAUAAUAACUCUCGAAUCGCAUGGCCUUUGUGCCGGCGAUGCUUCAUGUCAAUAUCUGCCACUAUCAACUUCGAUGGUAGGAAGAGGCCUACCAUAGUUCAACGGGGGACGGGGAAAUAAGGGUUCGAUCCGGAGAGGAGCCUGAGAAACGCGCUACCACAUCCAAGGCAAAGCAGGCAGGCGCGCAAAAUUACCCAUCCGACACGGGAGGUAGUGCCAAUAAAUAACAAUAUAGGCUCUUUCCUUUUUUCCCUUUUCUGCGGGUCUUAUAAUUGCGACGAUUGAGUACAAUUUAAAUCCCUUGAACGAGGAACAAAUUGAGGGCAAGUCUAGGUGCCAGCAGCGCGGUAAUUCAGCCUCCAAUAGCGUAUAUUUAUAAGUUGUUUGCAGUUAAAAAGCUCUAGUUGAACUUCAGACCUGGGCGGGCGGUCCCUUAACGGCGAGUUUACUGUCUGACUGGGCCUUAACCUCUUGGUGAGCCGGCGUGCCCUUUAUUGUGUGUGCGUCGGGGAACCGGACUUUUACCUUGAGAGAAAAUUAGGAGUUCAAAAGCAGGCCUACAUGGCCCCGAAUUACCCAUUACGCAUGGAAUAAUAGAAUAGGACGGCGGUUCUAUUUUUGGUUGGUUUCCCUAAGAGUCGCGUAUGAUUAAUUAUGGAUAGUUGGGGCAUUGGUAAUUGAGUCGCUAGAGGUGAAAUUUUCCUUGGAUUGACUCAAAGACCGGACUAUUGCCGAAAGCAAAGUUUGCCAAGGAUGUUUUCAUUAAUUCAAGAACGAGUGUUAGGGAUCGAAAACGACUCAGAUACCGUUGUAGUGCUUAACAGUAAACUAUUGCCGACUAGGAUCGGGCGACCUCAAAUCAUGAUGCUAUCGCUCGGCACUUACGAGAAAUCAAAGUCUUUGGGUCUCUGGGGCGGAGUCAAUGGUCGCAAGGCUGAAACCUUAAGGAAAUUGACGGAUAACGGGCACCACCAGGUGUUGAGCCUGCGGACUUAAUUGACUCAACACGGGGAAAUCACCAGCAGGUCCAGACAUAACUAGGAUUGACAGAUUGAGAGCUCUUUCAUGAUUUUAUGGGUGGUGGUGCAUGGCCGUUCUUAGUUGUGGAGUUGAUUUGUCGUGUUAAUUCGAUAACGAACGAGACGCUUAACCUGCAUAAAUAGCCAGGCCGCUUUUGCUUGGUCGCCGGCCUUCUUACGCAGGGACUGUCAGCGUCUAGCUGACGGUAAGUUUGAGGCAAUAACAGUCUGUGAUGCCCUUAGAUGUUCUGGGCCCACGCGCGCUACACUGACAGAGCCAGCCGAGUUUUUCACCUUGCCGGAAGGUCUGGGUAAUCUUUGAAACUCUGUCGUUGCUGGGAGAUAGAGCAUUUGCAAUAUGCUCUUCAACGAGGCAAUACCUAGUAAAUCCGUAACCCUAACCCUAACCCUAACCCUAACCCUAACCCUAACCCUAACCCUAACCCUA
rnacentral:rRNA from 1 species